rnacentral:rRNA from 1 species
UACGGAGGGUGCGAGCGUUUGUCCGGAAUCAUUGGGCGUAAAGGGCGCGUAGGUGGCCCGGUCAGUUCGUGGUGAAAGCGCGGGGCUCAACCCUGCGUCGGCCAUGAAUACUGCCGCGGCUGGAGCACUGUAGAGGCAGGCGGAAUUCCGGGGUGUAGCGGUGGAAUGCGUAGAGAUCCGGAGGACCCUGAGGCGAAGGCGGCGUCCUGGCGCACUUC